CCUGUUUCCUCUCUGCAGUUACUCUGAUCUCUCACUCCCAGCCAGCUUCUCUGAGUCUCAAUUUCCUCAUAACAUGGCUCAGAAAUGGUCACUGCAGCCCAAACUCUGAUGAACCUUCAGCUCAAGCAUCCAAAUUACAGAUAACCCUCUGAUGGCUCUGAGGAAUGUUAACCUCUGGAGUAGCAGCUCUCAACAAAACAUGGUCCUGCUGAUGUUUCAUGCCUCUGUCGAAAGGCAAGAACUGCAUUUUCCUUAGGAAAAAAACAAACAAACAAACGCUAUUCUUUUGAAGUUUGACAAGUUACAAGACAACAAGAUUUAGAGAGAAUUGAGAAGACAUAAGAUAGUCUUAUGUCUUCAUAAGGAAGAGAAGCUGUUGAAGGUGACCUAGGUAGAGAUCACAGACAUCAAGAGAUGCAGACAACCAUUUAAAACAACCCACCAAAGAGAGCUGUAUGACCAGCCUGUGUUCCAAUUAGUGUCCCCUUUAGGUCACAUUCCUGAGCAGUCAUUUGAUAACACCUGCUUCUUCUUCCCAGCGUGUAACUGCUGGAGUAUUCUGGAGCAGUCAGCUGGGACAUCCAAUAACGAAACCUCUGCCUGCAGACCCCCUCCAUUCCAAAGAUUGGAAUCUACCUGUAAUAAUAAUGUAUUUUACCUCCACAUGCAGUUCUUAGCAUGAAAUUGUGAAUGUUUACAUUGUAAAAUUUCAUUUCUGACCAAGCCUGAGAUUUGUAAUCCUUCCUUCCCUGAGGACAUAAAUUGUCUGUUUUCUGAUAAGCUCUUUUAUUACCUCUGCUUGACCCUCUCUCUUGUUACAUUGAAAAAUAAUAAAAAAUUUACGAUUACAGUGUACCACACACACAUACACGUGCUUACUCAGUCAUGCUCUUACUUCAGAUAAAUGUGUACAAUGGCUGUGUAAAAUAUAAUGCAACGAGAUUAAAGCCAGAUCCACUGACUGCAUUGUUAAGGUUUGCAUACCAAUGGGAAAGAAAGAAAAUUAAAACCAGUGUUUUGGAGGACAUGGUAUAGAUAGGAUCCUGGGCACACACACUUAAUUUCCUCCCAUGAAUUUGGGCUGCUGUGGGAAUAAAGUAGAAAAGCCUAUAACCUGGAAAAAACUAGGCCUCCUUGUGGUCAGUGUUAGCACAGUGUUGUCAACAGAAGAAACACAAAUCUAACUCUGAUUAGGCUUUCAAAAAAAAUGGAAUCUUGAUUUCCACUUUUUCCUGGAUGAUGGACUAGAAACACUGAGUGACCCUCCACUGCAGUACAACUGGGUUGCGGCUGAAGUAUUGCAAACGUACCCUUUAAAUGUAUUCCUCAGAUGACAGUGAGAAAAAUCUCCAAUGACAAAAGGAAAGGAAGCAAGAGAAAAAAAAGGAGAAGAAAAAGAGAGGAGAAGAGGAAGAAUGAGCUGAAACUCAAAUACUGAACCAUGAGUGAUAAGAAAACUGCAGCACAGGGAGGUUACAUUCUUGUUCACAUGGAUGGUAAGCACUGAAACCUGGCAAUAUGGAUCUAUGCUAACACUAGCAUAUUGGAGGAACUAAAUACAUAAUAUUUAUUUCAAUAUCUUUUCUGUUUGCUGACCUAUUGAUUGGUCUUGGAUGGGCUGGAAAGUAACAGAGAUCACUUUAUUUUCAUCUCAAAAUCUUCUAGCUCCCAGGCCUUUCCAGAACCUGGGCCUAGCCCAGUUUGCAGUCUCCUACCUUUAGUGGGAACUAGCAUUUGUUCUUGGCAUUGCUCUAUGUCCUAGAAUCUACCACAAGGUUGCAAAUUAUUCUCAUUCAGGGACCUUGGAGCAGGAACUACACUUUUUCACUAAGAGUCCAUUGAGUUUUCACAGGAUUAUUGAUAUGGGUGAAGCACUACAAAUAUGAAACUGCCUAUUUCAUAGUUCUAAGUAGUAGGAUAAUGUGAGAGACAAAAAUGACAUUUGUUAUGAAUUUCAAUCAUCUCUUUAAUCCAGACUUAUGUAAGAGAUAAAUUACUGGAAUUAUUAUUGAGGAAUAUUCGAGGAUAAAAACAGAAAUUCUAACUUUUUUUAAUUUAUGGAAGAAAGAAUUAAAAUUUUGAGUCAUGGGUAAAUCAUUGCCUAGUACAUACAAAGACUUAAUACAAAGAUUUAUGAGCUAGCUGGAUAAAUAAAUCAAAUUCAGGUCAUGGCUGCUAAAUUAAUAGCAAAUAAGAAUAGAUCAAAUUUACUUGGAAAUAAAAGCCUUUUUGGAAAAUGUUAUGAAACAAGAAGCUUACCUGUCCUUUAUUAUAUUGGACAUUUUUGAGAAUGGUUUCAAUUAUUCUGUAAAUUAGAGUGAGAUUUUGUUCAAGGUACAACCUGAAGUUAAUAUAGAUAUUACAUUUAUCAUUAAAACAAACAAACAAACAAAAAAGAACUUUGAGGCAAAUGAGGUACAAAAUCACCAAGAUAAUUAAUUUCUUUUGAGGGUAAUAUAGGCUUAAAUAGAGUGCAAAGUAAUAAUGAUUUUUUCAAAUAAAAUUAUUGACCUUUUUGUAUUGUGCAUUGCACAAAACCCUAAUUUAAGGGCACUGACCUUUUGAACCAAAUUAAGAGUCAAUUUCCUAACUGAACUCCUGCAAGGUGCAGGAGUAAACUAAACAGUGCAGAGUUUAUGAGCCUUCCUCCAAGAUAAAUUGUUAUGUUAAAAUAACUGGGAGGCCUGGAACUCUGAAGAAUGUUUGUCAUUUUUUAAAUGAAAUCAUUCCUAUUUUUGAACAGAUUAAACAUUACGUGCUACUAUUUUUGUCUCCAAAUCUGACUCAUCACUUAGAAUCUAAAUAUUAUUUAGAUUUUUUUUAGAUUUAAAAAUUUAUAUUGGAUACAAACUUGGACUAGAUGUGUUAUCCCAGGUCAGCUAUUUCUUCCAGUUAUAAUUAUUAUAAUUAGAAUCCCCUACUAUUCUUUGUCUAAUGCAUUUUCUCGUUAAAAAUAUUAUUCUAGGUGAUGAAAUACCUACUUAGGACUUGGAUGUUAUCACCCUCUUUGGUCUAUUAUUAUCAAAUGUUAAAAUAAUACUUCCAUUUUAAAAACUUUGGUAAGAAGAGAACAAAACUGAGGGCUUUCUCAUGAAA